CCUACGGGAGGCAGCAGUGGGGAAUCUUGCGCAAUGGGCGAAAGCCUGACGCAGCCAUGCCGCGUGAAUGAUGAAGGUCUUAGGAUUGUAAAAUUCUUUCACCGGGGACGAUAAUGACGGUACCCGGAGAAGAAGCCCCGGCUAACUUCGUGCCAGCAGCCGCGGUAAUACGAAGGGGGCUAGCGUUGCUCGGAAUUACUGGGCGUAAAGGGAGCGUAGGCGGAUAGUUUAGUCAGAGGUGAAAGCCCAGGGCUCAACCUUGGAAUUGCCUUUGAUACUGGCUAUCUUGAGUAUAGGAGAGGUAUGCGGAACUCCGAGUGUAGAGGUGAAAUUCGUAGAUAUUCGGAAGAACACCAGUGGCGAAGGCGGCAUACUGGCCCAUUACUGACGCUGAGGCUCGAAAGCGUGGGGAGCAAACAGGAUUAGAUACCCUGGUAGUCCACGCUGUAAACGAUGAGUGCUAGUUGUCGGCAUGCAUGCAUGUCGGUGACGCAGCUAACGCAUUAAGCACUCCGCCUGGGGAGUACGGUCGCAAGAUUAAAACUCAAAUGAAAUUGACGG
rnacentral:rRNA from 1 species